rnacentral:rRNA from 1 species
UACAGAGGUCUCAAGCGUUACUCGGAAUUAUUGGGCGUAAAGGGCGCGUAGGCGAUCUGACAAGUCUGGUGUGAAAGCCCACAUGUUAACUGUGGAAGUGCAUUAGAAACUGUUGGAUUUGAGUUCAGGAGAGGAAGGCAGAAUUCCCGGUGUAGCGGUGAAAUGCGUAGAGAUCGGGAGGAAUACCAGUGGCGAAGGCGGCCUUCUGGACUGACACUGACGCUGAGGCGCGAAAGCCAGGGGAGCAAACGGG